rnacentral:misc_RNA from 1 species
GGCAGGGUCUAGUCACAUCAAGUGGACGAUAAAAACGAUGAGCAACUGUCCUCCCGCCUCAAGCUUCUGCGACUUUGGUGAGUGGAAGUCGGAAGAGGACGACUCAGAGGACUCAUGCUCUUCCGACUUCUCUUCGUCGUCCAGCGCGCCCUACGUCGUCUGUGCGCAGUCCAUCUCCUUUGCCACCGGGGCACUCGGCAAAGCGCAGCGCAAGCUCAGCGCCCUGCCGCUUUCGGACACAGACGAGGAGCUGCGCGCUGAAAUCGAGCAAAGCAGGCUGUCGCUGGAAUGUAAUCUGUCGGCACUGAGGCUGUCAGCAGUGCCAUCUGAUGUUCCACUCCAAAUUUUGCGUAAGAUUUCUCUGUCGGAGAACAAACUAGUUUCGUUGCCGGAUGGGCUGUUCUUAAACGGAUCCUUCGGUGCGCUGGUUGAGUUGGUCCUGAAUACCAAUCUGCUCACGUCCCUUCCGCUCUCUCUCUUUUACCUCCCACAUCUUCAGGUGCUUUCAGUGAACAACAACUCGCUGACGUCGCUGCCAUUUGAGAAUGUGAUAGGGGCAGAGCGCGACGCGGCGGGCGAUCCGUUUCUGCCCUCGGUGCGGCGUAUCGGAAUGGAGUCGAAUCAACUGCAGCUCCUGCCGUUGUCUUUGCUGGAGUGGUGCCCCUCUUUGGAGGAGUUGUUCUUGGCCAUGAACGAGGCAAUGCUCGAUGAGCCCGUGUCGUAUGACCGUCUUCAGAGGAUACGCCGUCUUUCCACCAAGCGUGUCGUGCUCAGAGUUGAUAAUCGCCCUCGUUUUGUGAGGCAGAUUGAGGCGCAGUGCUGGGCCCGGACUCUGCCAUGGCUGCAAGUCGAGCUGAACAAGAUCUACCCUGACAAGGUGCUGGAUUAUCUCUUCCUAGGAUCCCUGCGCACCGCGCAAACGGUGACUGUGUACCACGAUCUAGACAUCUGCUAUGUUCUCACUGUGGGGCGCGACUUGGAGGCGGUAAUUGAACCGUGGAUGCAGCAGCUUGUUCUUCCUGUGAACGACUUUCCGGAGCAGAGCAUGGUGCCCGUCUUCGAUGACGCCUUCAGGUUCAUCGAUGAGGCAAGAUCGCACAAAAAGGGCGUCCUCAUCCACUGCUUUGCCGGUCUUUCCAGGUCCGUGACGAUUGCGGUGGCCUAUCUGAUGCAUCUCAAGGGCAUCACACGCGAUGAUGCCCUUGCCUUGGUACGCCUUGCGAGGCCAGCGGCACAGCCAAAUGAUGGUUUUCUCCGUGAGCUGGGCGCCUACGAGGAGAUGCUGCGCAGUCGUUGCGUUAGUCGCGAGUAAGGCGGGGAGAGGGAAUGGGUGGCACAUGCCAUCCUCGAGGGGUUUCUUUUUUGCUUGUUUUCUUUAGCGACGGAUGUGCCUUACCCCUGUAGGCUUUUCUGUUUCCCUUCCAACGUGCGUGUGUGUGCUUCUCUCCACCCCUCCCCCUCCCCUUUUGCAUGAAUGCACGCAUGACGUAGAGUGUUUGUGCGCAUCAGCGGCGUCGAUGGCCUCCCCCUCUCCCUUCUGGAAAGGCGUGCAUGGGCUGUUGUGCCCGCCUCCAUGAGCUUCUGCGCGGACGCCACGAUAGAGUGUACGCCCGCUAAAGACGGAAUCGUUUGCUUCCCUUUCCCUUUUCUUAUCAGUCGUUCCCCGACCCCUUUCCUCCUGAGUGUGCCCUGACUAGCCAACUUCGUGUCCGCUCAUUGGUUUGUUGGCUAGAAGCAAGGAGACGGAAGGGAGUCAGAGGGAACGGCAUAACACAGCAUUGUAGGUCCAGACGAGCAUCCACGUACAGGGUGGAUGCAAUGCGCGGCGCGUUUUCACAAUGCGGAAGCUAAACCGGCAACGCAUUAACUCGCGAGGGGAUAUAUAGCAAGCCGUCCCGCUGUCUACAUACAGGGACGGGUGAGCGUGUGUCUGGGUACGCCUGCAUGUGGGUGCUUGAAGCCGUCGCGCACCGUAGAGAUGCGGGAUUUAGUGUCGUGUCGCUCAUUUUCGCUGCCGGCAUAGUGUGAGGAUGGCGUACGAAGGCGCGAAGGAAGUUGAAAAAGUGAACUGUGUCGUGCCUGUGAUGCGUACCGGAGGUGGCUCUGUGCCUUAUAAUCUGCUGUCUAUCGUUGCGCCGCAGCGUGGCACGCCGGCGUGUUUCCGUGCGUCUACCUUCCCGCGUUCGACUCCUCCGUCCCUCUCCCCCUUUUCUUUGUAAACUCGAAACAAAAAAGACCUCCUCAGUAGGAUGGUGUAGGUCCCGAGCACACCG